ensembl:lncRNA
CCACAAGGAAUAUCAUUUAUAAUCGUAGUAACUCAUGCAUCUGCCAAGGUUGUCACAGCUCCACCUCCAAAUGAAGACAAAACCAUCUUCUCUGAUGGGCUAGAUCAGUUUUGUGCAUCUCUAGGUUUGGAAAUUGCACAGAGUAAUCUGGUCUUGGAUCAUUUUCUGAAUCAACUUCCACUAAGGGCUCCGAGCCUUGGCAGCCAUUUUGGCUCAGAGGGUUCAGCAGUCACAGCAGUUGCAUCUGGAGUGCAUUGCUUUCUGACAGUAGACGGGGUAAAGAGCCGAAACGGGCAGAUGGGCCAGAACCCCGCUGCUUUGCAAAGGGCAUCAGCUAACAACGCACACUCAGACCUCUCAGACCUGACCCAGCAUGGGGAACGCGAGCGAGGGAGCGGAAAUGGAGAGAUGGAUGGAUGAGAUUGUAUUGCUGCAAAAUUUGAUUUAUCUAUUCUACAACUCCUUCCAAGGAGAGAAAUAAGUAGACAGCAGCAAAAGAAGAGGAUAUGAAAAGGAGGAGAAAACUGCAGAGACAGAAAGAAAAAUGGAAAAGAGGGGUCCUACAGGACAGAACAACACUAUGGGACUGAAUUCAUUUUGAGCAAUUUAGAGGACAAAAAUAGUAGUUGACCGAAAAGGGUUUUUCAAUGGCAGGCCAGAGUUAGUUGUCACACAAGGGUAACUACAAUUUGUUGACCAAAACAAUGGUUGGAUAUAUUUUGUAUUUCAUAAGUGUCAAUUUUGCAAGAACAGAUCUAUAAAAUGCUACUUGCUCCACUAUUGCAACAUUUAUACAUACAUUUACAAGCAGUCAGAGUAACAUUCUAGUGAAUAUUUGAUCAAGUUCAUUGUUGUUUUCUACCUCAAUUGAGGACAAUCGUUUUUUAUAAACUUCUCACAGUUCUCCAUUUACAGUCUGAUAAAGCUUGGGUGAUAAUUUUGAACACAUGCCUGCCUUUCUUGCAUACACAUCAUGUUUAUUUUUGGUUUAAUACACAUCAUUAACUUGUGUUUCGUGACUCCAGUGUGUAGUCUGCAUUCCAGACAAGUGACCCUUCUUUCACUCACCUUGUGUUACUAAACCUUUGAAGUCUGGUAGACUCUCAUUAGGGACACAGAAUCACUGUUCUUGACUCCGAUUGACUGACAGUGUGGAAAUACCUUGCAGUCACUUAUAGCUCUAAGGCUUUUAGAGGACAAUGUAUGUAUAUACAUACUGUAUAUGUAAGUGCGUGAGAUCUGCAAGGCUGUCACACUCCCCUCUCAUUUUUUUCCUCAGGUCAAGAAAGCUGGCUGUCAUCCCUCCAUGAGAAAGCGUAAGAUGUAAAGUAACUAUAGAAUGAGCAGUGAAAAACCCUUCAAAGACGCACUCAACAGCAGAAGGCUAAUUUUGGUAACAG